rnacentral:lncRNA from 1 species
GGACACUGGUCUCAGAUGUUGGGUUUGGAUUAUGAAUGGUGCUGUGUGGAGCUGAGACUUGGGUCAGUGACUUCAUGGGUCCCACCCAGCUCGGGAUGUUCUAUGAUUCUAUCAGGAGAGGUAAGGUGGCACAGUACAAGAUUCAUGCCGGCACCAACUGAGGUUGUGGUGAGGACUAAUGAUGAAGAGCUGCCUGCUUUCGGACUUGUGGGAAUUUUGCAUAUUCUUCUGUGAAACAUCGGAUAGGGCUGUGCUGAGAAUCAAGCCUAGAAGCACAGUUCUGAUAAACUGUAAGUAAAUUCCUACCUUAGAUUAUAGGCAGUGUAGCACUAGGCGUGCUGCCUAGCAAGCUGCGAGCCCCGACCCCAUCCCCUCCGGGCCACGCCUGAACGAGCCACGCGCCGCAGACUCCGUCCUCCUCCCCGCCCUCCGGCCCGAUUAUGUUAAUAACCGUGCAUUACAUGACCCCUCCCAAAGGCCCACCCCCUCUACGAGCUGCCUCGAGCUGUCAGUGCCGCACCAGCCGCCCGCACUGCCCGCCCGGUGCCUCCCGGAGGGCGGCUGUGAGCGGCCUCGGCUGCUUGGUGCUUGGGGCAGCAUCGCAUAGGGAGGAGUUACUGAGGCCAAAUUCAAAGUCACAGUUGAGGCUUAUAGAUAUGUAAACACAUAUAUGUGAUUACACGUGUAUUUAUAAAGGGGAUUUUGAGGCCGUCAAAAUGAGAAACCAAGAAAUUUCGGCUUGCGUCAGGAAUGUUUCUUACACAAAUGUGCAGCUCUGUGCAGGCUGUGAUGCUGCAGAUGGAUCCCAGUGCUUUGGGAAGAUUAAACGUGAUCUCACCGAAGACAGAGACCCCCAGGCUGUGCCCCCAGCCACAGGCCUGAAGGCACAGACCAUGCACAGCACACUAAAUCCAACGGAGGAGCACUGUACAGAGAGAUCAGUGCUUGCCCAGCCAACAUUUAUGUUCAGAAUGAAGGACCGCCCUUUGAAGGUAAAAACUUUAACUUCUGUUCUGCAUCAUUGA